AGAGAGAGAGAGAGAGAACUGAUGAAAUAAUGAGAAAACUUGCUACAGGUAUAUUUGCUUCUGUUUCUCUCUUCCUGGUUCCAUUUUAUCUUUUGUCGUUGUUGUUGAAAAAAAAUGUUUUUGUUUUUGGGUGGCGUUAUUGUCAUUCCAUGAAAACAAGUCAACAAAAAAGAUAUGAUCCUUGUCCUCGUUUUGGUUGUCGUUGUAUCCUGUCGUUGUUUGUGGAUGAAGAGAAAAAAA
rnacentral:ribozyme from 1 species